rnacentral:tRNA from 1 species
GCGGGGUACCUCGGGCUAGAGCAGGGGUCUCAUAAGCCCUUGGUCGGCAGUUCAAAUCUGCCCUCCGCCA